AACGGCCAUACCAUGCUGAAUAUACCGGUUCUCGUUCGAUCACCGAAGUCAAGCAUCAUUGGGCGCGGUCAGUACUUUAAUUGACCACCCGGGAACA